CAGCCCUGCUUUCCCCUCCUUUGAAAAGAAGACAGCAAGAAUGAGACAAACUUUGACUGAUAAAGUGGAGUUUUUUGGUCUCCUCCCUUUCUUACUCUGACCUGCACUUUGCUUUCGCUGUAAAGCGAAUGUAGAAAUGACCCUGUGGGAGUGGUGAAACUGCAGCACAGAAACAAAAACUAUUUGGAUUCACCCGAAAGCUGCUCAUUCGCUUGCUCCUCUUUUUAUUAACGGCUCCAAGCGUGCAGCCUGUCUUGUUCUGACUACGUGUCUGUCAGCAAGAGCAGAGGUGACUCAAAGCAGGAGGCAGCAGAUGGCCACGUCGUUAGCUGGUGGCCACAGCCUUCCCAGAUGAGUUUUGGAAUUUCCAUCAAAGUCGGGAUUAGGCUCAGGAUAUGGCACAGAGCACCCCUGGGGAGCGUGGAAGAAGAGGAAACUCAUUCAUAGCGACUCAUCUCGUGGUUGGUUCACCCAGAGCCAUCUGCCGCGGUGUCUGCAAUGUAUUUCAGUCCUGACGAAAUCCCCCUUCCUCAGCGGUACCUCCGCACGCUGGCGUAAGGAUGAUGUGACAAGCGAAGCUGGCAAGUUGUUCCCACCUUUGUUGCCAAUUAUAAAGCAGUGUAAAGAGGCAAAUUCUGACAGCCUGUGUCCUUAGAGGGGUUUGAGUACUGAACUCGUAGUGAAAUCAUCAGCAGUGAGGCUCUUGAGCAUCCCUGGGGCUCUGGGCUGGGCUCUCUGCUCACCUUUUGCUCAAGUUGUCUUUCCCUGGCAUUCAUCACUUCUUUGCCUGACUCAGAUGUGUAUUUAAAGCUGCUGAUUAUUCAGCAGCAUAUAAACAUUUACUUGUAGAUACAGAGAGCACGGUUCCCUGUAAAGGGGAAUAAGCUUUCAGCUGGUUUGUUUUCUAAUCCUGGAGAAAUCUGCAAGGUCAGUGAGCCUGGCGUGUGUAAUGGAUCUGUUCAAGGCUGCCAAAUGUGUUGGGGGCUGUGGUCUGGAACUCCCAGUUUAUCUCAUUCCUUUGCUUUCUGCUGCUCAUUAAAAGAUCUA
rnacentral:lncRNA from 1 species